UUCGGUGGCUAUAGCGGAGAGGACACACCCGUUCCCAUCCCGAACACGGAAGUUAAGCUCUCUUGCGCCGAUGGUACUGCAUGGGUGACUGUGUGGGAGAGUAGGUCGCCGCCGGGA
rnacentral:rRNA from 1 species